UUCGGGGCCUCGACACUAUUGGAGCGGCCCGAUAUCGGAUUAGCUAGUUGGUGGGGUAAAGGGCCUACCAAGGCGUCGAUCCGUANCUGNUUUGAGAGGACGACCANCCACACUGGGACUGAGACACGGUCCCAGACUCCUACGGGAGGCAGCAGUGGGGAAUUUUGGACAAUGGGGGCAACCCUGAUCCAGCCAUCCCGCGUGUGCGAUGAAGGCCUUCGGGUUGUAAAGCACUUUUGGCAGGGAAGAAAAGGCUCUGGCUAAUACCUGGAGCUGCUGACAGUACCUGCAGAAUAAGCACCGGCUAACUACGUGCCAGCAGCCGCGGUAAUACGUAGGGUGCAAGCGUUAAUCGGAAUUACUGGGCGUAAAGCGUGCGCAGGCGGUUCGGCAAGAAGGAUGUGAAAUCCCAGGGCUUAACCUUGGAACUGCAUUCUUAACUGCCGGGCUAGAGUAUGUC
rnacentral:rRNA from 1 species